UGAGACACUCAGGACUGAACAGACUGCACAGUUUCUGUGACUGAGCCUCCAAAACACCUUCUUUGAAACCACACAUGAUAGAAGGGCUUUAUAUUUGCAGCAGCACUACUAAAGUUGGCAGGAAUGUUGCUGCAGGAAAACAUCCCUGGAGAUCACCACCAUUGUCACACUGACUGUGCCUCCUCUGUGCAGUGUCAAGAUCCUCCCUAAAUGAGUGUUCCUCAGCUAUCCUGCUUCUGUGCUGCUUGCCACACAUCAAACACUGGCCGGAUGACAGGGAGGAUCCACUCUGAAGUCACUGGACAUGAUGAGCAUCAUCUGGGACUUUAUAGUUUCACAGAAACGUUGUGCUCUUUGAUUACAGGUUUUAAAUGGACAUAAUGACUGCCUCUCUCUGAUCAACAGGCUAAAGGAUUGUUUUCAUUGUUAGAGCUCUGUACAAUGUAUGCUUAUUUAAUAUUUCAUCACAGAGCAAACCUUUAUUUAUUUAUUUAACAUAUUUUUUAUUUUGUUUUAAUGUUGAAUUAACUGUGGGGAUUUUUUUAACUGGGCACUCGGGAUGUCAUAUGACCAGAAAUGUGGUAACUUCAAUUCUACAGUAUGUACAAAAAAUCUGCUAAGAACGA